AGAGGUGAAGCUUUGAAUGAAAACCAAGAUCUUCAGACAACCAGACCAUCAUGGAGGGGGCUCAUUUAAGGAAAAAAAGCAAGAAAAGAAAAACUGGUAAUACCCUUCAUCAGGCAAAAAGACGCAGAAAAAAGAAGAAAGAAAACCCUUUAACAUGAAGCAAAACUCGGAGAACCCUGAGAACAGAAAUCCUAUCUUCCAGAAGGGGCCUUUGAAUGGACAGUCUCAAAAGGUUCUUUCUCUGGAUGUGGAUAAUGUUCUUUCUCCUAAG